GAUGAAGAACGUAGUGAAAUGCGAUAAGUAAUGUGAAUUGCAGAAUUCCGUGAAUCAUCGAAUCUUUGAACGCACAUUGCGCCCUCUGGUAUUCCGGGGGGCAUGCCUGUCCGAGCGUCAUUGCUGCCCUCAAGCACGGCUUGUGUGUUGGGCUUCCGUCCCUGGCAACGGGGACGGGCCCAAAAGGCAGUGGCGGCACCAUGUCUGGUCCUCGAGCGUAUGGGGCUUUGUCACCCGCUCCCGUAGGUCCAGCUGGCAGCUAGCCUCGCAACCAAUCUUUUUAACCAGGUUGACCUCGGAUCAGGUAGGGAUACCCGCUGAACUUAAGCAUAUCAAUAAGCGGAGGA
rnacentral:misc_RNA from 1 species